AGAAGACUUUAGAUAUGAUCCAGAGUACCACGGGACACGUGAAACCCUGUGGGAAGCAGGAGGGACCACCCUCCAAGGCUAAAUACUACCUAGUGACCGAUAGCGUAUAGUACCGUGAGGGAAAGGUGAAAAGAACCCCGGGAGGGGAGGGAAAUAGAACCUGAAACCCUGCACUUACAAGCUGUGGAAGCACAUUUCUUGUGUGACCGCGUACUUUUUGUAGAACGGGCCAACGAGUUACGUUAAGUAGCAAGGUUAAGCACUUAAGGUGCG
rnacentral:rRNA from 1 species